GUGUGUGUGUGUGUGUGUGUGUGGCAAAAAAGGAAUUGUUGUGCAUCCAUGCUAUUUGAAUUUUAAAUCUUUCAGUGGUCUUCUUCAUCAUUCUCUCACAAAUUCUUUUGGCUGCCGUUAUCCAGCAAUUUGCAGUUGAAUUCUUGUCGUUUUUUGUGUAUAAUUUUUUGUGGUUUGUUGGCCUUGUGCCAUCAUUCUUUCAGAAGGAAAGACUUGAAAAGGAGA
rnacentral:misc_RNA from 1 species